rnacentral:rRNA from 1 species
AUGUUCAUGCCAAAAUCUCCCAUGGACACACUUCACUUCUCCUGCAUCCAAAUAGCCAUAGCCCUACUCUUGUUCACUCAAGCCAAUAGCACCACAGAGGGCAGCACAUCUGCCCUGCAUCCAAACGAUGCGAUUCCCAGCUGUGUUGCCGGUGAGAAGUCUGCCCUUCUUGCCUUCAGGGCAGGCCUAUCAGACCCUGCCAGCCUCCUUUCAUCAUGGAAGGGUGACGACUGCUGCCGAUGGAAUGGCGUCUAUAGCAGCAACACCACCAGCCAUGUUGUCAAGCUGGAUCUCCGAGGCCCUGAAGACGGAUGCGGUGUUGAGACUAGACAGGGGCUAGCAGGCAACAUAAGCUCCUCGUUGCUUGGUUUAAAAAAUCUAUGGUAUCUCGACCUCGGCUGCAACGGAUUCGACGAGAUACAGAUACCGGAGUUCAUGGGUUCUCGCCAUAAGUUGAGAUAUCUCGACCUAUCAGCCUCACUGUUCAUUGGAAGGAUACCGCCGCAGCUGGGUAAUCUCUCCAACUUACGGUACUUAAGUCUUGGGAAUGAGGAUACAUACUCCACUGAUAUCACCUGGUUGUCACGGUUGACUUCCCUUGAGCACCUAGAUAUGUCUGGGGUGAACCUCAGCACAAUUGUUCACUGGCUUCCAUUGGUGAAUAUGCUUCCAACUCUGAAAGUUCUUCGCCUUCCCCAUUGCCAGCUUAGAAUUAGCCCUGAUUCUCUAGAUAUCUCGAGCAAUGGUUUCUAUGGCCCGUUUCCAGAUGGGAUAGGUAAUAUGACCUCCAUUGUGGAGCUUGAUUUAUCAGAUAAUAACCUUGUGGGCAUGAUACCAUCCAACAUGAAGAACCUAUGUAAGUUGGAGACAUUAGAUUUUUCUGUGAACAAUAUCGACGGGAGUAUAGCAGAAUUAUUCCAUCGAUUACCCAGUUGUUCGCGGAAUAAACUACAAUGGUUGUCUCUACACGACAACAAUCUGACUGGAAGCCUACCAACUACACUAGUAGAGCCCUUGAGAAACCUGAACCAGCUGUAUCUCAGUGAUAACAAACUCACAGGUCAUGUCCCAGUGUGGAUAGGAGAGCUCAAACAGCUAACAAAUCUGGACCUUAGUUCUAACAACCUGGACGGGGUCAUACAUGAAGGUCAUUUAUCACGUCUAGAUAUGUUGGUGGAAUUGACAUUAUCAGACAACUCCAUAGCCAUCACAGUGAGCCCAACUUGGGUUCCUGCUUUCAGUCUAGGAAUAGUUGAACUUCGGUCCGGUCAGCUAGGGCCAAAAUUCCCAAUGUGGCUUAGAUGGCAAACACACGUAACGAGUCUUGAUAUAUCAAACACAAGCAUAAGCGAUAUAAUACCGGAUUGGUUUUGGACAGCGGCUUCCUCAGUAGAGUCUCUGAAUAUCCGAAAUAAUCAGAUUACAGGAUUCCUACCAUCAACAAUGGAAUUUAUGAGAGCAGAAGAAAUGGAUUUCAGUUCUAACCAGCUUGGUGGUCCAAUACCUAAGCUUCCCAUCACUCUAACCAACCUGGAUCUCAGUCGGAACAAUCUAGUUGGGCCACUACCAUUAGACUUUGGAGCGCCGGGGCUUAGGACACUUCUUCUAUAUAACAACAUGAUCUCUGGCGCCAUUCCAUCUUCUUUGUGCAGUUUGCGAGCAUUGAGGUUGUUAGAUCUAUCAAGAAAUGGUCUCAAUGGGUCAAUUACCGAUUGCCUAGUCAACGAGUCCAGCACAAACAUGACAGGCCUGGGUAUUGCCAAUCUAAGCUUAAGAAACAACAACCUCUCGGGUGAAUUUCCUUCACUUCUCCAGAAAUGUCCACGACUCAUCUUUCUUGAUCUCGGACAUAAUCAAUUCUCUGGGGCUUUACCAGCAUGGAUUGGGGAGAAGCUAUCAUCUUUGUCAUUCUUACGACUGAGAUCCAAUAUGUUUUAUGGUCACAUUCCAGACGAGCUUACGGAGCUUGUUAAUCUUCAAUACUUGGACCUUGGCUACAACAAUAUUUCAGGGAGCAUACCGAGAUCUAUUAUUAAUUGUACAGGCAUGACACAAACAAGAGACAAUGAUGAUCUUCAGGAUGCAUUCACUUUUGGAGUAUAUUCUGCUGGCAAUUACCUAGUUAACUAUACUGAGAAUUUAACAGUACUCACGAAAGGUCAAGAGAGAUUAUAUACAGGAGAAAUCAUAGAUAUGGUGAAUCUUGAUUUAUCCUGUAAUAGUCUUUCUGGAGAGAUCCCUGAAGAAAUCAGCGCUCUUGUAGCAUUGAAGAGCCUGAACUUAUCAUGGAACAACUUCAAUGGAAAAAUCCCUGAGAAUAUUGGCGCCUUAAUGCAGGUGGAGUCACUUGACCUAUCACACAAUGAUUUGUCCGGUGAAAUGCCUUCAAGCUUAUCGACUCUCACAUCAUUGAGUCGCCUGAACCUGUCCUACAACAAUCUGAGGGGGGAAAUACCGACUGGAAAUCAACUGCAAACACUCGAAGACCCGGCCUAUAUUUAUAUUGGCAACCCCGGCCUCUGUGGUCCUCCUCUCUCUGUAAAUUGUUCGUCACAGCCCGAGCCAAUUCCAGGAGAAAACCACGGAGAUGCAAGCGACGACUUGGUUUCGUUUUUCCUAGCCAUGGGCUCUGGAUAUGUGAUGGGUCUCUGGUUGGUCUUCUGUACCUUCUUAUUCAAGAGGAGAUGGAGAGUUUCGUGGUACUUGCUCUGUGACAGCCUGUAUGAUUGGGUUUAUGUGCAUGUGGCUAUUACCUGGAGUUCCUUGAGAGGUAAAAUCAAUGGGUAG